UUUAGCAACUUAUGUAGCUAGAAGGCUUUGACGACAUGAAAUAAUUGACUUUGUUCAAGAUAAAUUUAGCGAAUACUCCUGGAGUCUGCGAUCUCUAUUUUUGGUAUUAAAUAUACAGACUAUACUAUUGAUAUAGGGAGAUCUCUAAGGACCUGGGCGCCUUUUAGGUUAUAGGGCAAUGCACCAAAAUGUACGAGAGAUCCAUCUCCUAAAUGUCCCCAGAGACCUGAUGUAUGCAGUUAUGCAAGAAUUGGAUGCUAGUGGAUUAGAAGAAAGAGGUGGUGUUGGAAAACCGAAACGUCCAAGGAGGGAAAGGAAUUUUUAUUCAGAAGGGCCAGACUAUACACUGUCAUUAGAUGGCCAUGAUAAAUUAUGCGGCUACCCGAAAUCCACUUUUCCCUUGUGUGUUUAUGGUUGUCAAGACACCUAUAGUGGGAGAAUUCAGUUCCUUAAAGUAUCUACAAGCAACAAUGAUCCAAAGAUAAUAGGAACAUUCUAUCUCGAAUAUUUAUAUGAAACUAGAAGACAGAGGUACAGAAACAGGAGAUAUGACCACAAUGCAUUGUUAUCUAAUUGACAAGUAUCUUGCAGUUGAGGAUGCAACAGAUUUCGUCCUAUAUGGUCCUUCCACUGGGAAUAAAAUUGAACGAUUUACGAGAGACUUACAUUACAGACUGGAGAUUUACUUUAAAAAACAGAUUUCUGGUCUUUUAGAAAAUGGAGAUUAUAAUCCAUCAAAUGAAAAAGAUAGGUAAGAUAAUUACUAUUAUUACUGGAUAAGUUAUACCCAUCAGUGAUAUUUUAUGCUGAUAAACACAAUUCAAGUGGAAAAUGUAAGCUUUGGCCAUACAACAUUGAUUUGUGCUUUUUAUAUGCUCACUUGAAAUGUAUGGUGUAUUAUAUGACAAUAUUCGCUCGUUCACAAUUGAUGGCACAGGGUGCCUUUAAUGGUAUUAUCUGGGGGUCUCUAUCAUUUUUUUGUGUGAAUUUGAAACAAAUUGUUUGAAUAAUACCCCUUUAUUAGACGCAAAUUUACAUUAACUAAAUACAGUGGUUUUAUGGGUAGCCAAGGAGGGUCUCUGUUGUUUUUUACACAAUUCUGAACAACAUGUUCGAAUUUUUCCUAUUACUUGACACAAUUCUUGUGUGAAAGCUGCUGUGUGGGUGUAUUAACACGCUUUGCGUAGCUAUCUGGAUAUAAAUCAUUUCUUUGGCAAUACAGAUGACAAAUUAGGUCUAAAUUAGCAAAGUACUCUUGAUUUCAGUACCAUUAGGAUCACCAAUUAUUGUCAGGAAAAGGUCGGAAAUCCACUACUGACAUAAUAA